AGCCCCGUAGUAUAAGUCAUACGCAAGAUUGCAAAUCUUGAAAUGGAGGUUAGGUUCUCCCGGGGCUU
rnacentral:tRNA from 1 species